UCUGUUUGUGGACGAGAUCAUUCUAGUGAAACCUGCAAAUUUAAAAUGUAUUCAUGUCGUGUGUGCAACCAGGAGGGACACUUAAAGAAGAUGUGCCCGCGAUUGUCGCGUUCCGUGGGGCACCAUUAUGUUAUUACGGAAACGGGAAACCAAUCGAUCCCAGAAGAUGAUUUAGAGUUCCAGAUUUAAAGACGUAUUCUCGGAGGGGCUGGGCCGGUACAAUGGCGGGCUGGUCACGCUGCGGGUGAGAGACGGCGCCAGGCCGGUAUUCCUGCGCGCGCGGCCGCUGGCGUACGCCCUUCGUGGACCGGUGGAGCGGGAGCUCGAGCGACUGCAGCGAGAAGGGGUCAUUACACCAGUGGAAACAGCGGACUGGGCGACUCCGAUUGUUCCCGUGGUCAAGUCAGAUGGAUCCCUCCGGAUUUGUGGGGAUUACAAGAUAAGUUUAAACAAGUAUUUAGAAGUGGACCGUUUCCCCUUGCCAAGAGUGGAGGAUUUGUUUGCCAAAUUACAUGGUGGUGAAAAGUUAGUAAGAUUGACCUGUCACAGGCAUAUGCCCAGCUAGUUCUGGAUGAUACCUCCAAGUAUACAGUCAUAAACACACACAAGGGGCUGUUUAAAUAUAAUCGUCUUAUAUAUGGUUUAUCCUCGAGUCCUGGUAUUUUCCAGAGAAUUUUGGAACAAAUGUUUGUGGACAUACCUCGAGUUGGUGUGUUUUUAGAUGAUGUGGUUAUUACAGGGUUAGAUGAUCAAGAACAUUUAAAGAAUUUAACUGCAGUUUUUGAGCGACUACAAAA